UACGUAGGCAGCAAGCGUUGUUCGGAAUUACUGGGCGUAAAGAGUGUGUAGGCGGUGCUCUAAGUUCGGUGUGAAAUCUCCCGGCUUAACUGGGAGGGUGCGCCGGAAACUGGAGUGCUUGAGCGCGGGAGAGGAAAGCGGAAUUCCUGGUGUAGCGGUGAAAUGCGUAGAUAUCAGGAGGAACACCUGUGGUGUAGACGGCUUUCUGGACCUUAGCUGACGCUGAGACACGAAAGCGUGGGUAGCAAACAGG
rnacentral:rRNA from 1 species